UAAUUCUGGUUGUUAUCUUCAGUGGAAUACAGUUUCGAGGAUAUAUUGUAACUUGUGUUUUGCCUACGUCUACCAUUGUGCGGCUUAAAAUUUUAGAUCACACUAUCCAUGGAAUCGAACAAAUGAACUGUCAAAAUCAUGUAGCCCGGCCCAGGCCGGAAUACAUUCAGUUUGCCACCAGAGCUCGUCUGGAGCACAACUAGUUUCGGAAACAAACCAAAAAUGUAAAAAAUUUCAAGUAUUUGUGUUAUUAGAAUUAAAUUUCUAUUUCAUUUUGUCUGAUGAUCUUGGGUCCAUAGCUACCGUGGUUUGACUAAACAAGGCUCUGCAUGCCCUCUCUCCCUCGCACGCCUGACACACACCAUACACACCAUACACACCAUACACACCAUACACACCAUACACACCAUACACACCAUACACACCCAAUCACACAUACUUGGCCAUUGCUUUUCUUGACCGGUAAGCAAUGGCAUUGCUCUUCGUUUUCGCUGAGUUGACGGCAUACAAAACACAUACGAUGAUGUCUGGUUUCACAUAACUUCAUGAUCUAUCUGUUUUCCAAUAUCCAGUCGAACCGCAAAGGAUUCAACAUAAUGAAGAUCACACUCCUAGGCUAGGAAUCGCCUUAAUAGAGUUAUAUUUAGUAUUUUUCCCCCACCGAUGGUACCGGUUCCGCUGAACCUGAGA